ensembl:snRNA U2 U2 spliceosomal RNA
AUGGGUUUUGUAAUAAAAAAAAAAAAAAAAAAAAAAAAAAAUCUGUUCUUAUCAGUUUAAUACCUGAUACGUCCUCCAUUCGAGGACUUUAUAUUAAACGGAUUUUUAGAGCGAGGAGCUGGAGAGGGGCUUGCUCCGUCCGCUCCACGCAUCGACCUGGUAUUGCAGUACCUCCAGGAACGGUUGCACCUUUU